rnacentral:rRNA from 1 species
UCGGGAAUUUUGGGCAAUGGGCGCAAGCCUGAUCCAGCCAUGCCGCGUGUGGGAAGAAGGCCUUCGGGUUGUAAACCACUUUUGUCAGGGAAGAAACGGCCUGAUCUAAUACAUUGGGUUAAUGACGGUACCUGAAGAAUAAGCACCGGCUAACUACGUGCCAGCAGCCGCGGUAAUACGUAGGGUGCGAGCGUUAAUCGGAAUUACUGGGCGUAAAGCGUGCGCAGGCGGCUUUGCAAGACAGAUGUGAAAUCCCGGGGCUCAACCUGGGAACUGCAUUUGUGACUGCAAGGCUAGAGUACGGUAGAGGGGGAUGGAAUUCCGCGUGUAGCAGUGAAAUGCGUAGAUAUGCGGAGGAACACCGAUGGCGAAGGCAAUCCCCUGGACCUGUACUGACGCUCAUGCACGAAAGCGUGGGGAGCAAAC